rnacentral:tRNA from 1 species
GGCGUAGUGGCGAAGCUGGUUAACGCGACAGUCUGCAAAACUGUUAUGCGCCGGUUCGAUCCCGGCCUACGCCUCAA